rnacentral:lncRNA from 1 species
CAGAAAGCAGCUCUCACCAGACAUCAAAUCUGCCAGCACAUUGAUCUUGGACUUCCCACCCUUCAGAACUACUGUCUGCGAGGGAUGAGCCUGAGGUGUCAGCAUCUUCACAGGUCUUUUGAGCCUGCAUGCACAAAAGGGUCUACUGUCCCUGGCUACAUAACUGGAGCCUCAGCUCUUCACUGACUGUCCUCAGGUUCCAGGGGCCACCUGCAGUUCCUUGCCACAUGGAUUUCUCCAGCAUAGCUGUGUACUUCAUCAAGGCACAAGGAGAGUCUCCAGUCUACCAGAGCCCUAUGUAAUGUAACAUAAUCAACAAAGUGACGUCCCAUUCAUAUUCAAUUGGUCAGAAGCAAGUUACAGUCCCCACCCAGGUCAGAGGGAGGAGAUAUGACAAAGAAGUAAACAUCAGGAGGCUGGGACAAUGGGGAUACUUAAGGUCCAUCCUGCUACAACUUCCACAAUGGCGUCUUGACCAUGAGGGCUCCACAGACACUGAAGCGGUCACCCAGGCUGCAAGUCUUGGAGGCAUUCUCUAGGAAUCACAGUCCCAUUCUUCUGCAGGCAAACGGAGUCGCCAUAUGACCCAGUAAGUUUACUCUUAGGUACAUUCCCUAGAGAAAUAAAAAUAUAUGUCCGUG